rnacentral:rRNA from 1 species
AUUGAACGCUAGCUGGAUGCUUUACACCUGCAAGUCGAACGGAUUGGCGGACGGGUGCGUAAUAUAUCGGCACGUGCCCAGUAGCGGGGGAUAACUACUCGAAAGAGUGGCUAAUACCGCAUACUCUUGUAGCGUCCGAUAUCGGAUUAGCUAGUUGUGGGGGUAAAGGCUCACCAAGGCAAAGCUCCGUACCUGGUUUGAGAGGACGACCAGCCACACUGGGACUGAGACACGGCCCAGACUCCUACGUGAGGCAUCAGUGGGGAAUGUUGGACAAUGGGGGAAACCCUGAUCAAGCCAGCCCUAGUGUAUGAUGAAGGCCUUCGGGUUGUAAAGUACUUUUGGCAGAGAAGCGGUAUCUGCAGAAUAAGCACCGGCUAACUACGUGCCAGCAGCCGCGGUAAUUC